UUAUACUCCCUCCGUCCGAAAAUACUUGUCAUUGAAAUGGAUGUAUCUAGAUGUAUUUUAGUUAUAGACACAUCCAUUUUGAUGACAAGUAAUUCCGGACGGAGGGAGUACUUG
rnacentral:pre_miRNA from 1 species